CCUACGGGAGGCAGCAGUGAGGAAUAUUGGUCAAUGGGCUUACGCCUGAACCAGCCAAGUCGCGUGAGGGAAGACUGCCCUAUGGGUUGUAAACCUCUUUUGUCAGGGAGCAACGCCGGCUACGUGUAGCCGGACUGAGAGUACCUGAAGAAAAAGCAUCGGCUAACUCCGUGCCAGCAGCCGCGGUAAUACGGAGGAUGCGAGCGUUAUCCGGAUUUAUUGGGUUUAAAGGGUGCGUAGGCGGAAUGCCAAGUCAGCGGUAAAAGCGCGGGGCUCAACCUCGCUCCGCCGUUGAAACUGGCGUUCUUGAGUGGGCGAGAAGUAUGCGGAAUGCGUGGUGUAGCGGUGAAAUGCAUAGAUAUCACGAAGAACGCCGAUUGCGAAGGCAGCAUACCGGCGCCCAACUGACGCUGAAGCACGAAAGCGUGGGUAUCGAACAGGAUUAGAUACCCCGGUAGUC
rnacentral:rRNA from 1 species